UACGUAGGGUCCGAGCGUUUGUCCGGAAUUAUUGGGCGUAAAGGGCUCGUAGGCGGUCUGUCGCGUCGGGAGUGAAAACUUACAGCUUAACUGUGAGCGUGCUUUCGAUACGGGCAGACUUGAGGCAUUCAGGGGAGAACGGAAUUCCUGGUGUAGCGGUGAAAUGCGCAGAUAUCAGGAGGAACACCGGUGGCGAAGGCGGUUCUCUGGGCAUUACCUGACGCUGAGGAGCGAAAGUGUGGGGAGCGAACAGG
rnacentral:rRNA from 1 species